AAUUCAAAUUUGUAUGGAGUUGGAGCGUUUGCCGCUAUGGGCGCCGUUUCAAAUGCAUACAAAUUUGAGUUA
rnacentral:pre_miRNA from 1 species